GCUAGUAAUCGCGGAUCAGCAUGCCGCGGUGAAUACGUUCCCGGGCCUUGUACACACCGCCCGUCACACCACGAGAGCUUGCAACACCCGAAGUCGGUGAGGUAACCCGCAAGGGAGCCAGCCGCCGAAGGUGGGGCAAGUGAUUGGGGUGAAGUCGUAACAAGGUAGCCGUACCGGAAGGUGCGGCUGGAUCACCUCCUUUCUAAGGGGA
rnacentral:rRNA from 1 species